rnacentral:lncRNA from 1 species
ACCCGAAGCACACACAAGAGCCCAGAGUGAAUUAAGUGUGAGGAGAAAAGUCUUUGGUUGUAAUCUGUGGAAACUGAUGAGUCGUCGUGGUAAUGAAUUGACUGUUUGACAUGAAAACAAACCAUCUUGUAAUAACACACACACACACACAGCCCUACUUUCUCUGGUUGCUUGCAUGAUGGGCUUGGCUAGUCAUGAUCUCUCCUCUAAUAAAGUCACAUCAAAACAAUUUCCGUGUUAAUGGGAAGUUGCGAACAUUAAACUCCUUACGUAUCAGGCAACUUGUGUUGAAUGAGUCUUUCCCCUUCAGUUAAGCCACUGGUUUUGUUGCCCGCACUUAGCUGCGGGUAACAUCUACUAUUGUAUGUGAAUUCUCUAAAUAGAUAGUAAAAAAAAGAAGAAAAACUAAUCAAGGAUAGACAUAAUUCAGCUAAAAACUUAAAAGAUAUGUGAAAGUAGUUGAAGUGAAAGGAAAACAUAUGUAUAAAACUAUUCAUAAGCUUUUACAAGAGUAGAUGUUUAUAUAUGAACAUGGUAAGAGCUGUAAAACAAAAGGAGUUACAUAUGGCGAAAGAUUUGAUAGUGUCUUAAAACUUAUUUGUUGAUGAAGCAGAGAUUCAAAGCAUUGUUGAUGUAGUUGUGUGUCUAAAUCAGAGGUCCUGUGGAGUGAAGAAGAGCAAACAAUCUGAUCAUGAGUGGAAUAAUAAUAUUGAAAGAAUAUGUAUUCUGCAAAGAUAAAAAUAUACCAAUAAUGUAUUAACAAUGUAGUUGUUAUUAAUCAAAGAACAUCAAUUUGAAGAGAAAACCUUACCCACAAUUUGAAAAGAAUAUUCACACUUGGUUGUGGACAUUAUAGCAGCCAUUUCUUUGUUUCUUCAUAACUAAUGAAGAUGAUAUUAUAACUGAACAAAAAUGGUAAAACAAUGCACUCAACAAACAAAACCUACUGGAGGGGCAUUUAGUGAUUGGCUAAGGAAGCUGUUUUAAAUGUAUUUCUACAAACUACAGUUUGAUUUCAGCUUCAAACCAAUACAGUAAACUCAAUAUGAUGCUAGGAGUGAUGCAUCAUUUGAAAUCCAGCCUUAGCCAAGACCAAAAAUGCAAAAACAAAACUGUUUUUAAGAGUUGAAAAGAAAAACAAAAAUUUUCAUUAUUUUCACUAAGCUACAACAUCUGUCAAGGAUGACAUUCAAUUCAUAUUUGUCAUGAUGGAAAACAGUUGUUCUAAUUGGAACAAUGAUAAUACCAAUUAACACUGCCACAUCAUAGAUCACAUGCAACUCCUUUUUUUUAAUAAAAAAAAGCCGCAAACUUAAUGCAGCCCUAGUCCAAAACCAAAAAUAAUCCCACUAUUCCGCUCUAUGCAAUGGAAAAAGUAUAAUUGGUUUGCAAUGAAAGACAAACAACCAAAUCAAUGACUAAGGGAAUUAAAAUACAAUCUCCAUAUUAAACAAAAAAAAAAAAAAAAACUUCAUACAGCAGACCAAAAUGAAAAACCAGACUAUCUUUAAGAGUUGCAAAGAAGGAGAUUGUCAAAGAUGACAUUCAAUCCAAAUUUAGCCAUGUUGGAAAACUAUUGUUCUCAAGGAAUGAAUAGGUUUGACGGAUAUCAGAUCUAAAAGAAUGAUCAAAAUAACAUCAAUAACAUAACUCUACUUUGAUAUGGUGAAGGUAUACAUAUGCCUCAAAACAUCAGCAGUAUGCUCUGGUAUAACUAUUCCUAAACCCCCUUUUUUCUUUGGAAAAAGGAAUAUAUCAAUGAGCUAAAAUAAGGUAAAGAUGAAACGAAUACCAAAGAAAUCAUGCAUUAAAAUCAUACUUUCAUCCUAAAAAAGACACAAACUUAACUGUCGCGUUAGCUCAGCAAAACGAAUACCUAAGAAAUCAAUCUUCACAGGAACCAAACAGAAAAUUAUUUUCGUAACCCACCACUACCACACCACACCACUGGUAAGAUUUCUCAACAUAUGCAAUUCAAAACAGAAAAAAUAGCACCACGUGCAAGGACAAAAUGUGGAAGGCAAUGCAAAACAGUCCUAUGCUAUGCCAUGGGAAAAAGAGCCAGAUGUGAGCCAUGGCAGAAGAAAUGGGUGUUAAUAAGAGAACUGAGAAAGAAGUAAAAAAAAUAAUAACCAAGAAUGUGAAGGCAUCAAUCGGUAAAUUUUAUAGACAGCACAACACCAAAUAUCACAGAUAAAUUCUAAAAAGGAGAAGAAGAAUAGUCUGGCACAUAAGGAACUGGAAGUGAUAAAUAAACAGAACUGGAUAAGAAAUAGGGAUUUAGAGCUUGUAACAAUAGAAAUUUAUAUAAACGACAGACAGAGGUUUCAAACUAAGAAACAACCCAUACAGGUUCAAUAAGAGGACGAAAGGAAAGCCUCAGUUCUUCGAGGCAAUCGUGGCGUUGACUGCCAUUUUCAGCAGUUGGUUGCGUGUCCAAUCUUGGGAUGAUCAACUCUGCAAAGCAAUGCAUUUUCUCCUCUCUUUCCUUUCACUCUGGAUUUCUCAUAGCCGCCAGUCUGUCUCUUUAUUUUUUCUCCCAGACAAUGAAAUAUCAAGCGCGUGUUUCGUAAUAUAAAAUUAUUUUCUUUUUCAUUUUUUAUUCCUUGAAUCAGGUUUUUUUUUUUUUUUUUAAUUUUUAUGUUCAAUUGACUCAAUAGCUAAUUGUAUGCUUUUGAUUCAAUAGCGAUAAAAAGUAAUUCAUUUCAACAUAAUUAACAUGCAUGGUUAACGUGAAGCCGUGGAGUUUGUAUGCUUUUGUAUUUUAAAACUGUUUUUGAAAAAAAAAUAAAUUUUGAAUAAAAUUUUUAGAUUAUUUUAAUAUGCUAAUGUGAAAAAUAUAUUUUUUAAAUAAAAAAUAUAAUUUUAAUAUAUUUUCAAGUAAAAAAUACUUUAAAAAACAAUCGUUACUACAAUACCAAACAUGUUUUUAUAUGAAUGUAUCUAAUACUAUGAUGUAGAAUAUUUUUUAUUUAAAAAUAUAAUAAAAUAAUUUUUUUUAUUUUUUUUAUUUUUAACAUCAAUACAUUAAAAUUAUUAAAAAAUAUUAAUGUAAUGUUUUAAAAAACAUCUAAAAAAAUAAACAAUCUCACUAUCAAUCACACCCUUAUAAAAACCAGCUAGCUAUUGAGUCAAAGCGAACAUGUUCAAAGAACACAAGGAUUAAAAAAACUACUUCAAAAAAUACAAAAAUUAAUUGAACACAUUAAAAAUAAAAGACUGAAAAAUAAAUAAUGUUACAUCGACGUGCAUGGUAAAAUCAAGACCUAAUGUAAGUUAAUUACUGGGUUUAUUAAAAAAAAAAUUAAAUAACUAGGAUUAACUGAACAAAUUUACAAUACAUAAUAAAAAAAACAUGAGAAUAAAAAUGAAUAAUUAACACAAAUACGAGAGUAAAUUUAUGAGUUUUGCCUAAACAAUUGUUCUCGUAUUCUUACACCUUCUAUUCGUCAGAAAUGGCAUUCCCAUUUUUAACUGGUUACUAAGGUUUGGAAUUAUACUGCCGGUUGGAGUUCAAAAUAUUUUUAUUUAAAAAUAUUUUUGAGAUCAAUAUAUCAAAAUGAUCUAAAAAUAUAAUAAAAUAAUUUUUUUUUAAAAAAACAAUAAUAUUUAAAUUUUGAGAAAAUACAAUUUUAACUUAUAUUUAUUAAACCCGGUUCGGGGUUGACCCAGCCUAGGGCCCGUGUCUCGAGUUUCAUGGUCAACCCGGAUCAAUUAAAGUUUUAAUAUUUUAUACAAAAAAAUCCAUGUAAAUAUAGGCUGUACAUAUUAUAAAUAAUGAAGUUUAAAAAAAUAUAUUAAAAACUUUUUUAUCCCACAUUAAAAAGAUAUUAUGUUAAGUUUUUAAGUUGAUGUAUUUAAAUCAAAAAAGUUUUUUUAUCCCACAUUGAAAAAACAUAACUUUUUUUUUGGAAACAUAGAGUAUAUAUAUUAAUGGAUUUCAAAUCCUAUUUUGAAAAAAAAUAAAUUUUUUUUUCUAGGAAUAAAAAGUAUAUAUACUAAUGGAUUUAAAAUUUCACAUUAAAAGCAUAGUUAUUAAACCCACUCGGCCUGGGGGUUGACCCGGACAAGGAGCUAGGUCCCGUGUUUAAUGGGUCAACCCGGAAAAAUUAAAAAAAAUUAAAGUUUUAAUAUUUUAUACAAAAAAAUUAAGAAAAAAUCCAUGUAAAUAUAGGCUAUACAUAUUGUAAAUAAUGAAGUUUAAAAGAAUAUUUUAAAAAGUUUUUUAUCCUACAUUAAAAAGAUAUUAUGUUAAACUUUUAAGUUGAAGUAUUUAAAUUAAUUUUUUUUUAUCCCACAUUAAAAAAAACAUAACUUUUUUUCUUGGAAACAUAGAGUAUAUAUUAUCCAUUCACUUUUUUUUUUUUUUUUUUAAGAUCUCUCUAUUUGUUUUGUCUUGAUACCAUUAUUGUACAUUACAUUUAGUCCCUGCAUUUGUUUUUUGAAAUAACUUUGGUCCUGUAUUUAUUUUUCCUAGAAAAAAGUCUUUAAUUGAUUUUUUUUAUAUAUAAUCAUGUAUUUCACAAUAUUGUUUAGAUGUUUUUUUUCUUUUCAAUUAAGUUCCUACAUUGUAAACUUGAUCAGGAUUUAUCAAAUAAUUUAAAUGGGUUGAUGUAUAAAGUAAGAGUUAGAUAAAUUUAAAUACACGUGCUAGUUUAAAAAAUAGAUUUUAUUUCAUGUAAUAUCAUAUUUACUAUAAGAAUUUCCUUCCUUUUGCAGAAAAAUAUUUCCUGCUUUUAGUCCAAAGAAGUUGAGAUUAAAAAUAAAAGAAGAAAAUAGUAUAAUAAAUAUAUGAUAUUAUAAGAAUGAAUUCUGUCUCAUAACGAUUCUUGAAUUUCUUGAUAUUUUUUUUACUGGUUCAAUUGGCCAUGGAUGUGAUUAAUUUUCAUGACUGUGAUUGAUAUUAUUGUGAUUUUGUUUACCUUUGUUUCCUAUAAUAAUUUAUAUCUAUAUGAAGAAUCUCGACAAAGUUUAUGAUUUGAUAUUUAAGAACUAAAUUGAAAAUGUUAUAUUAUUGGGGACUAGUUUGUAACUGUAUUCAUUAUUGAGGAUAAAUGAGCAAGAUUUUACGAUAAUAGGACAGCGGUAUAUAUAAAGUUGGUGUUUCAACCAAAGCAGGUGCUUGAAAUGCUACAAAUAUAGUUACAAACACUCACACUAUACCUAUAUGAUCAAAGCUACAACGUAGAAUAUAUUUUCGCGAGAGCCGAUUGAUGGCCUCAGACUCUUUUCUAUCAAUCUUAACACCUCUGAUAUUCAUUAAACUUCCUUUGUUGCAUCGGCAACAAUAAGUUCAUCCGGGAAAUCAGUGUCACCUGUAUCAGUUGGUAACAUAAUAUCAUCUUCAGUUGUGAAAUGGUAUCUCUCCCCAAUAGCUCUGAGGAGCUGAUGCACCUCAAACAUUGUUGGUCGCUCCUUAGCAUUCUCAACCACACAGUUACAAGCAACUUUAAGAAAUUGGUUGAGUUCGUGAUCGAAUCCAUUUCCAAGCAAAGGCUUGUCAAUGGAAGUAUGAAGAAGUGGACCAUCUGUCAGUUGUCUGAUCCACUCCACUAAACUUCCCUUGAAGCUUUCAGGGGCAUUAGCAACAUGAGUGGGCUUUUCACCGGUGAUCAACUCCAGGAGAACCACACCAAAGCUAUAAACAUCCCCCUUCGGCGUUGCAACAAGGGUCCUUUGAUAUUCAGGAGCAACAUAAUCCAACCCCCCAAAUUUCCCAUUGACGAAAGCUCUCAAAUGUGUGUCGACUCGGUUCAUGAGUCUGGUAAGGCCAAAAUCAGAUAACUUUGGCUCAAAAUCGUUAUCCAAGAGUAUGCACUUGGAGCUUAUGUUCCUGUGGAUAAUUCGUGGAUUGCAGUUAUGAUGAAGCCAUGCCAAACCUCUAGCCGCUCCAAUUGCAAUUUUGAGCCUCAGGGACCAAUCCAUGUUCCUGAUCUCAGGUUCCACUGGGUGCAGUUUAUCAUAAAGGGUCCCAUUUUCCAUGAAUUUAUACACCAAAAAUCUCUCCCUCUUUGCCACACAAAAGCCCAGCAGCGGGACCAAAUUUCGGUGUUUCACAUUCCCAAGUGUCUUCAUCUCUGAUACGAACUCUUUCUCUAAAUGAUGAGAGUCUUGCAAUCUCUUAACCAUAAGGAAGCAACCAUCAGAAAUCACUGCCUUGUACAUCGGUCCUGUUCUUCCUGCUCCAAUGAUGUUGUUAUUACUGAAGUCGUUGGUUGCCUUCAUGAGAUCACUCAAUCUCAUUUUUGAAACUGAUUUCUCAAACAUGGAAACCUGUAGAUAACAGAAUCUUUGCUGUUAGAUAUUUUGUUGCGUCAAAUAAAAAAUGAAAUCAUUGAUGAGUUAACAUGGCCAGAAAAAAGAACAGAAAUUCAAUUCCCAUGCGAGAAAAAAAACACAGUAUAUCCAUUGCACAUGAUUAGUUAGAUAGCUUGCCUUGAUGUCUUUGGUUCCCUUGAUGCUCUUUGCCCAUCUGUUACCUUCAGGAUCCUCCGCCCUCUUCUUAGCCGCUCCGCGAGACAAGUAGAACUGAAAGACACCAACAAUAAUUGAUGUAAAUGUUAUCCCGCCAGCGGCUGAUGCAGCAAUUACUCCAACACGGGAUUUCCCCGCGACAGCUGGACAGGCACUCAAUGGCUUUCCACAGAGGUCCAGAUUAUUUGCAAAGCUAUCAGCUGGGAUGUUAUGAUGGAUAAAUGUGGGGAUCGGCCCUGAUAGAAGAUUGUUGGUAACCGUAAAUACCUUGAUCCGAUCAAGCAGGCCAAAUUCCGGUGGAAUCUUGCCUGUUAGCCGGUUGUUGCCAAGUUUGAGAUCAUUCAAGAAACUACAAUUUGAAAGAUUUGUUGGAAUUCCACCUGAAAAAUUGUUGAAUGAAAGAUCAAGGUUUGUAAUAUAGGGGAUAAGCUUUGAGAUAUUAUCAGGGAUUGAGCCAGAUAGCUGGUUGUGCGAAAGAUCCAAGCCAGUCAAGCUUGUGCAAUUCUGGAUGCCAGGGGGGAACUGGCCCUCAAGACCGAAGUCUGACAGGUCGAUAUUUAGAACUCUGUUCUCGUCAGGGUGCCAGCAUUCAAUGCCCUUAAAUCCACAUAUGAAGCCUUCAGUAUUGUUGUUGAAAUUCCAUGUAGUGUUCAAGUAGCUAUUAGGAUCCACCAGAGAAUCUCUGACGGAUUUCAAGCACGCUAUAUCAGUCUCAGUAUCAUUACUCACAGAUAUUCUACUACUCAGCAAAACCAAAACCAUCCAUGUCAAAAUAUGGGCAACAACCAUAGGAUUUUUCUCGCUCAAUGCCAUCAGCAAGGGGAAAAAAAUCCUCAAACUUUCUGUCCCUGGCCCAAAACGGAAUCUACAAAGUGAAGGGUUCUCGCUAAGUUGUACUACUAAAUAAAACACUCAAACCCAUCUCUAUACAUCCAAGAAAGAAGGUCUAACUACUCCACCAAAAACACAAUCCAAUUUUACUAGUGAUCCACCAGAACAAUAUGUAACUUGGAAAAAGCAAAAGAGAAGUCAACAAACAAACAACCUUUAAUCUUAAACAAUCCAACUAAAAUCCCAAUUCACUUAUCUCAGAGAUUCACUAUAAGAAAACAAGAUUUGAGACAUACCCAGAUGAAGAUGAUGAUGAUGAAAUGGAAGUGUGGAGCAUAUAAGUUGUCACCAAGCAAGAAGAAUGCUGCAAGAAGAAUGAGGAAAUAAAUGAAGAGAAAGAGCACAGUUAUUAUUACACUGAAAACGUGGAGAUGGGGUUGAGUUGAGUUGAUUUGAUUUGAAUAUGAGAAAGAGGUAGGAAACAUCAGUUUUUCCCCCCUUCAAAGAAGACUUUAUUUUAUGUACAAAUCUUCUUGCUUUCCAACAACCCGAAGCACACACAAGAGUCCAGAGUGAAAAAAGUCAAAGGAGAAAAGUCUUUGGUUGUAAUCUGUGGAAACUGAAGAGUCGGGUGUAGUGGUAAUGAAUUGACUGUUUGACAGAAAACAAACCAUCUUGUAAUAACACACACACACACACACAACCCUACUUUCUCUGGUUGCUUGCGUGAUGGGCUUGGCUAGUCAUGAUCUCUCCUCUAAUAAAGUCACAUCAAAACAAUUUCCGUGUUAAUGGGAAGUUGUGAACACUAAACUCCUUACGGAUCAGGCAACUUGUGUUGAAUGAGUCUUUCCUUUUCAGUUAAGCCACUAGUCUUGUUGCCCGCACUUAGCUGCGGGUAACAUCUACCAUUGUAUGUGAAUUCUCUAAAUGGAUUGUAAAAAAAAGAAGAAAAACUAAUCAAGGAUAGACAUAAUUCAGCUAAAAACUUAAAAGAUAUGUGAAAGUAGUUGAGGUGAAAGGAAAACAUAUGUAUAAAACUAUUCAUAAACUUUUACAAGAGUAGAUGUUUAUAUAUGAACAUGGUAAGAGCUGUAAAACAAAAGGAGGUACAUAUGGCGAAAGAUUUGAUAGUGUCUUAAAACUUAUUUGUUGAUGAAGCAGAGAUUCAAAGCAUUGUUGAUGUAGUUGUGUGUCUAAAUCAGGGGUCCUCUGGAGUGAAGAAGAGCAAACAAUCUGAUCAUGAGUGGAAUAAUAAUGAAAGAAUAUGUAUUCUGCAAAGAUAAAAAUAUACCAAUAAUGUAUUAACAAUGUAGUUGUUAUUAAUCAAAGAACAUCAAGUUGAAGAGAAAACCUUAUCCACAAUUUGAAAAGAAUAUUCAGACUUGGUUGUGAACAUUAUAGCAGCCAUUUCUUUGUUUCUUCAUAAGUAAUGAAGAUGAUAUUAUAACUGAGCAAAAAUGGUAAAACAAUGCAUUCAACAAACAAAACCUACUGGAGGGGCAUUUAGUGAUUGGCUACGGAAGCUGUUUUAAAUGUAUUUCUACAAACUACAGUUUGAUUUCAGCUUAAAACCAAUACAAUAAACUCAAUAUUAUGCUAGGAGUGAUGCAUCAUUUCAAAUCCAGCCUUAGCCAAUACCAAAAAUGCAAAAACAAAACUGUUUUUAGGAGUUGAAAAGAAAAAGAAAAAUUUUCAUUAUUUUCACUAAGCUACAACAUCUGUCAAGGAUGACAUUCAAUUCAUAUUUGUCAUGAUGGAAAACAGUUGUUCUAAUUGGAACAAUGAUAAUACCAAUUAACACUGCCACAUCAUAGAUCACAUGCAACUCCUUUUUUUUAAUAAAAAAAAACCGCAAACUUAAUGCAGCCCUAGUCCAAAACCAAAAAUAAUCCCACUAUUCCGCUCUAUGCAAUGGAAAAAGUAUAAUUGGUUUGCAAUGAAAGACAAACAACCAAAUCAAUGACUAAGGGAAUUAAAAUACAAUCUCCAUAUUAAAAAAAAAAAAAAAAAAACUUCAUACAGCAGACCAAAAUGAAAAACCAAACUAUCUUUAAGAGUUGCAAAGGAGAUUGUCAAAGAUGACAUUCAAUCCAAAUUUAGCCAUGUUGGAAAACUAUUGUUCUCAAGGAAUGAAUAGGUUUGACGGAUAUCAGAUCCAAAAGAAUGAUCAAAAGAACAUCAAUAACAUAACUCUACUUUGAUAUGGUGAAAUUAUACAUAUGCCUCAAAACAUCAGCAGUAUGCUCUGGUAUAACUAUUCCUAAACCCCCUUUUUUCUUUGGAAAAAGGAAUAUAUCAAUGAGCUAAAAUAAGGUAAAGAUGAAACGAAUACCAAAGAAAUCAAUUUUCACAGGAACCAAACAGAAAAUUAUUUGCGAAACCCACCACUACCACACCACACCACUGGCAAAAUUUCUCAACAUAUGCAAUUCAAAACAGAAAAAAUAGCACCACGUGCAAGGACAAAAUGUGGAAGGCAAUGCAAAACAGUCCUAUGCUAUGCCAUGGAAAAAAGAGCCAGAUGUGAGCCAUGGCAGAAGAAAUGGGUGUUAAUAAGAGAACCGAGAAAGAAGUAAAUAAAAUAAUAACCAAGAAUGUGAAGGCAUCAAUCGGUAAAUUUUAUAGACAGCACAAUACCUAAUAUGACGGAUAAAUUCUAAAAAGGAGAAGAAGAAUAGUCUGGCACAUAAGGAACUGGAAGUGAUAAAUAAACAGAACUGGAUAAGAAAUAGGGAUUUAGAACUUGUAAGAGUAGAAAUUUAUAUAAACGAUAGAGGUUUCAAACUAAGAAACAACCCAUACAAGUACAAUAAGAGGACGAAAGGAAAGCCUCAGCUGUGUCUUCCAUGCAACAGAAACCAAUAAGAGUUGAGAAAUCAACCCGGAAAAGAGGAAGGCAAGUUAACAUCAAUUAUAUUAGCUAACCUUUUAGUAAAUCAACCACGGAUUAAAACCAGGGUGAUAAUUGUGUAGGGACAACGGAAGGACGAUAUGAAAAGAAACAGCAGGGAAGUAAGAAAUUCAUAAAAGCAACAAAUUAAAUUAAAAAACAACUGAAAAGAAAGGGUGAAAUCUGCAAGAGCGUGGAAAAAGAAGGGCAAAU